CUUGAGUACAAGAAAUCAGGAUUAAAAGAUGGGGAAGCUCACUUUACCAGAGGUAGGUCUGAGAAGAAAUCCUCCAAUGGAAGUAGCAGUAGGGGAAAGUCUGAAACAAAUAGAGGAAGAUCAAAAUCGCAAGGGAAGAUAACAAAAUGCUUCUACUACCACAAAGAAUGGCAUAUUAGGAAAAAUUGCCUCGAGUUGAAGGAAAAAAUGAAGCAGGAAAAUAAAACAAGAGAAGAGAAUAGUAAUGCAAAUAUCACUUAAGGAUAUGACUUAGCAGAGGCCUGACGAUUGCAGAAAGCUUGUCUUGAUUCACAUCUACUGAUUGAAUCCUAGAUUUUGGAUGUUCAUAUCAUAUGACACCCAGUCAAGACUGGCUUCGACUUUGAAUCCACAGAAGAGGGCACUAUUCUUCUUGGCAAUCACUGUGAAUGUAAUGUGAAAGGAAUUGGAUCAAUCCAGGUAAAAAUGUUUGAUAGUUAGAUUAGGGUGAUCCCAAAGGUGAGAUACAUUCCAAAAUUAAAGAGGAGUCUAUUAUCGAUUGGUAUGUUCGAUAGGUCUGGCUACUUGUGCAAAAUAGAAAGUGGAACAAUGAAAAUCAUCAAGGGAGCAAUGGUAAAGCUUAAGAGGAAAGCUUCUUAAUGACAUCUAUAUCCUAGAAAGAUUUACUAUCUUCGGGAUAGCAGCCAUUACUCAUCACCAACAUCAAAGAGACACUGAAUUAUGGCAUGCCAGACUUGGGCACGUCAGUGAAAAAGGGCUAUUGAAGCUUUAUGAGAAAAGACUACUUGGUUCUUAAAAAUUUGGUUCACUUAGCCUCUAUGAACACUAUAUUUAUGGGAAAACAACAAGGGUUCAUUUGGUAAGGGAAACAUACAUCUUCUAGCAUCUUGAAGUAUGUUCAUAUAGAUUUAUGGGGACCUAAAAAAUACCAACACUUGAAGGAGCCAAGUAUUUCCUAUCAAUUUUGAAUGACUACUCCAGGAGAGUAUGGGUUUUUAUCCUUUGAAAUCAAAAGAAGAAACCUUCAAGACCUUUCAAAAUGGAAGGUUCUUACUGAGAACAAAGUAAACAGAAGAUUGAAGUGCAUUCGUACUGACAAUGGCCUUGAAUUUGUUAAUCAACAAUUCAAGGACAUAUGUGACAAGAAAGGAAUUGACAGACAUCUCACAGUUAGAGGGACUCCACGGCAAAAUGGAUUGAUCGUGCAUAUGAAUAGAACAUUACUUGAACGUGUAAGAUGCCUAGUAUCCAACACUAAGUUAGAUAACAGAUUUUUGGGGAGAGGUUGUUGUCACUGCAGUAUAUUUGAUCAACAGGAGUUCGUCAUCUGCGGUUCUUCAAAACACCAAUGGAAAUGUAGACAGGGACUUCAUCUGAUAUAUUAAAUCUCAUAAUCUUUGGUUGCACAGCCUAUGCACACUCCAGAGAAGGAAAACUGGAUAACCGCGUAAAGAAAUGCAUUUUCUUAGGCUAUCCACAUGGAGUCAACCUACAGAUUAUGGAGCUUAGAAAAAGGAAAUGAAAAGAUAUUUGUAAGCAGAGAUGUAACCUUUGAUGAAUCUAAAAUUUCAAAGAGUAAUAAGGUUAAAACUUCACCUAGUGUGAUCGAAAAAAUGUCUUUUGAUUUGCCUUUGGAAACAUCCAGUAGACUAAGAAGAGCAACUGUGUCAUCAGACAGUUUUGAACAAGGUGGAGCUACUAGUUUUGAUAGCGUUCAAAAUCAACAAGAAAAUAUUGAUUCAAGUGAACACAAUGACUCUGAAUUUUCAACAACAUUUGAACAACCUGAAAAACUACUUUGCAAUUUGAAGAUGUCCAAUCUUACCAACUGGCAAGAGAUAGACAAAGGAGGGAGAUCAGACCAGCAUCAAGUCGUCUGGAUCUAGCAUAUGCAAUGAGUAUGGUCAGUAGAUUCAUGGUUAAUCUCGGAAAAGACCAUUGGAAUUUUGUCAAGUGGAUCUUAAGCAGAUACUGAUAAAAGAAGGUCAUUAUCAGGUAAUGUAUUUUCUUAUCUUGGGAAUUUGAUAAGCUCAAAAACCUUUAUUCAAUCUAUUGUUGCCUUGUCAACAACCGAGUUUGAAUACAUUUCAGCGACUGAUUCAAUUAAAAAAAGCCAUUUGGCUAAAAAAGAUUACAAAUGAAUUAAUACAUGAUAACAAUUCUGUUAGAAUAUUCUGUGAUAGCCAAAGUGUUGUGUAUCUAUCUAAAAAUCAGACUUUUCAUAAUAGAACUAAGCACAUAGAUGUUUAUUAACAUUUUCUUAGAGAUGUUAUUAACCAAGGAAAUUUCACAUUGGAAAAGAUUAAUUCUAUUGAUAAUGCUGCAGAUGCCUUUAUGAAGCCAUUGCCAUUGGGUAAGUUUGAGAGUUGUCUUAAAACUCUCAAAAUUUACCCUGUUUGAUGAAACCUGAUUCUGGUGGUCACUGUUGUUAGGUAUCUUUGCUACUUGAGUUGACAUAAGCUAUCAGGGUGGAGAUUUAUGAAAGGGUGAUAACUUAAUUUUACUUCUUCUAGAUGUUAGUCUCAUUAUUUUUGUGGGGUGAUUUACAAAACUAACAGAAUAUUUUCACGUGUCUUCCUAACGAACUUUGUUAUAGGGAAUCACCUGAAAGCACGCUAAAGAUUUGAGGGUGUGAUUGUCAUUUUAACUUUAUAUAAAAUCCCUAGGCGAAGCUGAAGGAAUUGUGGAUGAGAGUAAUCAUAGAGAAGCAAUAAGGAUGAGGUAAUGAGAAUCUGAAUAGCAGCUUUUAAGCUAUUUGAGGGAUUUUUUCCUUGCUCUGAGAGGUAGCUUUGAGUGAGCUGAUGCAGAGGUCUUCUUUAUGCUGAAGGAAGUAAUUGGAUCCUUUUACUGAGAUCAGGAAAGUAUAGAAUUAUCCCAUUGUUAUUGUUCUUCUGCUGUAUACUCUGAGUAAUCUGAUGUAAGAUUGUAUCAACAACAACGAAAGCACAAGAAUCAUCU